rnacentral:rRNA from 1 species
UACAGAGGGGGCAAGCGUUAUUCGGAAUUAUUGGGCGUAAAGGGCGCGUAGGCGGCUUGGCAAGUGGAUGGUGAAAUCCCUCGGCUUAACCGAGGAACUGCCGUCCAAACUGCUUCGCUUGAGACCGGGAGAGGUGAGUUGAAUUCCCAGUGUAGCGGUGAAAUGCGUAGAUAUUGGGAGGAACACCAGUGGCGAAGGCGGCUCACUGGACCGGUACUGACGCUGAUGCGCGAAAGCGUGGGGAGCAAACGGG